rnacentral:rRNA from 1 species
CGAAAUGCGAUAAGUAAUGNGAAUUNCAGAAUUCAGUGAAUCAUCGAAUCUUUGAACGCACCUUGCA